rnacentral:rRNA from 1 species
UGCAGUCGAGCGGAGAGGAAGCUUGCUCCUGGAUUCCUGGGCGGACGGGGGAGAAGGCCUAUGAAUGUGACUGGGCCUGGGGGAUGACGACCGGACUGGGCGCUGAUACCGCUUCCGUCCUGAGGGAGAAAAUGGGGGAUCUUCGGACCUCGCCCUCUCGCAUGAGCCUGUGUCGGAUUAGCUAUAUGGUGGGGUAAAGGCCUACCAUCGCCACGAUCCCUAACUGGUCUGAGAGGAAGAUCAUGACCACUGGAACUGAAACUCAGACCAGACUCCUACUCCAGGCAGAGGUGGGGAAUAUUGAACAAGGGGCGAAAGCCUGAUCCAGACAUGCCGCGUGUGUGAAGAAGGUCUUCGCCUUGUAAAUGACUUUAACUUGGGAGGAAGGGGAAGGGAUUAAUACCUUGCUCUUUUGACGUUGCCGACAGAAUAAGAACCGGCUAACUUCGUGCCCGCAGCCGCGGUAAUACGAAGGGUGCAGGCGUUAAUCGGAAUUACUGGGCGUAAAGCGCGCGUAGGUGGUUCAGCAAGUUGGAUGUGAAAUCCCCGGGCUCAACCUGGCAACUGCAUCUGCAACUGACUACUGCUAGAGUACGAGUAGAGGGUGAGUGGAAUUUCCUGUCGUAGCGGUAGAAAUGCAAUAUGAUAUAGAGAAUCGAACACCAGUACGCGGAAGGCGAACCGACGCUGCCACCUGAUACUGACACUGA